rnacentral:rRNA from 1 species
CCUACGGGUGGCAGCAGUGUGGAAUAUUGCACAAUGGGGGAAACCCUGAUGCAGCGACGCCGCGUGAGUGAAGAAGUAUUUCGGUAUGUAAAGCUCUAUCAGCAGGGGAGAAGAGAGACGGUCCCUUACUAAGAAGCCCCUGCUAACUGCGUACCAGGCGACGCGGUAAGACGUAGGGGGCAAGCGUUCUCCGGAUUUACUGGGUGUAAAGGGAGCUUAGAGGGCUGUGUAGGUCUGAAGUGAAAGCCCAGGGCUCAAACCCGGGACUGCUUUGGAAACUGUGGAGCUAGAGUGCUGGAGAGGUAAGUGGAAUGCCUAGUGUAGCGGUGAAAUGCGUAGAUAUUAGGAGGAACACCAGUGGCGAAGGCGGCUUACUGGACAGUAACUGACGUUGAGGCUCGAAAGCGUGGGGAGCAAACAGGAUUAGAUACCCUUGUAGUC